CUCCCGGCCGNNANNGCGGCCCGCGGGAAUUCGAUUAGAGUUUGAUCCUGGCUCAGGAUGAACGCUGGCGGCGUGCUUAACACAUGCAAGUCGAACGGUGAAAGAGAGCUUGCUCUCUGGAUCAGUGGCGAACGGGUGAGUAACACGUGAGCAAUCUGCCCCUGACUCUGGGAUAAGCGCUGGAAACGGCGUCUAAUACCGGAUACGAGCUGCGAAGGCAUCUUCAGCAGCUGGAAAGAACUUCGGUCAGGGAUGAGCUCGCGGCCUAUCAGCUAGUUGGUGAGGUAAUGGCUCACCAAGGCGUCGACGGGUAGCCGGCCUGAGAGGGUGACCGGCCACACUGGGACUGAGACACGGCCCAGACUCCUACGGGAGGCAGCAGUGGGGAAUAUUGCACAAUGGGCGCAAGCCUGAUGCAGCAACGCCGCGUGAGGGACGACGGCCUUCGGGUUGUAAACCUCUUUUAGCAGGGAAGAAGCGAAAGUGACGGUACCUGCAGAAAAAGCACCGGCUAACUACGUGCCAGCAGCCGCGGUAAUACGUAGGGUGCAAGCGUUAUCCGGAAUUAUUGGGCGUAAAGAGCUCGUAGGCGGUUUGUCGCGUCUGCUGUGAAAACCCGAGGCUCAACCUCGGGCCUGCAGUGGGUACGGGCAGACUAGAGUGCGGUAGGGGAGAUUGGAAUUCCUGGUGUAGCGGUGGAAUGCGCAGAUAUCAGGAGGAACACCGAUGGCGAAGGCAGAUCUCUGGGCCGUAACUGACGCUGAGGAGCGAAAGGGUGGGGAGCAAACAGGCUUAGAUACNCUGGUAGUCCACCNCGUANACGUUGGGAACUAGUUGUGGGGUCCAUUCCACGGAUUCCGUGACGCAGCUAACGCAUUAAGUUCCCCGCCUGGGGAGUACGGCCGCAAGGCUAANACUCAAAGGAAUUGACGGGGACCCGCACAAGCGGCGGAGCAUGCGGAUUAAUUCGAUGCAACGCGAANAACCUUACCAAGGCUUGACAUAUACGANA
rnacentral:rRNA from 1 species